UCCACAGAGUAAAUAUUUUCCAGUUUUUCUUCUGUCUGGUCAAACUUCUGGUUCUGAUAGCUACACACUCGUUUCCUUUUAGGGGUUUUCCUCGUCUCAAUCAAUCAAAGGGAGGAUCCAUCACAGAAAAGAAGGAGAUGCAGCUCUAUUGGCCAAGACUGUGAUGCACAAAAAAGGAAUUUGGCUCAGUUUUUAAGGCGUCAACAGAUAUCAACUGAAACUCUUUUUAACGGCUGUUUCUUGGAUGUUUUGAUGCCUGCUGUUGCUAACACAAGAUCAUCAUUUCAGGAACAUUCCUCUUCCAAAGCAGCCAUGGAAUCAGAGCAUUCAGGGAGCAGAACCUGUUCCAGAACAACCCGAGCUGCAGCGGAGUGAGGCAAUAAAACGGACUGUAAAACGCUGAAACAGGAAGACGUUUGGAUCUCAGCACAUCUGCGGAGUUUCCAGGUUUCAUCUGCUGCACCUGUAACGUUCUGCCCACCUUGAACUGUUGCUAAUCGAUGUUGGGCCAUAAAGCCCGUCUGCGG